rnacentral:rRNA from 1 species
UACAGGGGUGGCAAGCGUUGUUCGGAAUUACUGGGCGUAAAGGGCGCGUAGGCGGCCUUCUAAGUCAGACGUGAAAUCCCCCGGCUUAACCUGGGAACUGCGUCUGAUACUGGAGGGCUUGAGUGCGGGAGAGGGAUGUGGAAUUCCAGGUGUAGCGGUAGAAAAUGCGUAGAUAUCUGGAGGAACACCGGUGGCGAAGGCGGCUUCCUGGACCGAUUACUGACGCUGAGGCGCGAAAGCUAGGGGAGCAA